CUUCUUUCUCACCCCACACUCUCUCCUGUGUGAGCUCAUCCACUCGAAUCGCUGCAGCCAAACUCCCGGCUCUAUGUCUGGGGCCCUGACCUCCCUCCCAGGCUGGCAUCUGCCUUCCUGAUGCAUCCCCUCCCCUCCCCCCACGCCUUGCCCCAUGGAGUAAAUUCAUUACCUGCCUUAGAGCAGCUCCUCCCUGGGACCACUCAAUACCAACCCAGUGACCUCCCUCCCUCAUCAUGCUGCUUGCUCCUGAGCUCUCCGCCCGCCAGCCCUCCCUCCCCCCUAAGGCCUUUGAUGGCUCCCCUCAGCCUGUGGAGUCUCGUACAGGAAACUUUGCCUGAAGCAGAGUCCUCCCCAAAAUGAGGACCCUGCCCUCCUUGUCCUUCCCUGCCUCCUCCUGAUGCCCUGCUUCAAUUAAAAACCAUUCCUGAAUUUCUGCCAUGUGGUCCCACCCUUCAGAGCUUCAUCUCAAAGGCCACUUCUUCCGAGGAGCUGUCCCUGAUUCUCCCAGGUGAGUUUGAACUCUCCUUUCUUGCAGCCUCAGCACUACUUGGAUGGAAUUGUCCACUUUAGUCGUAUUUGUAUACCUCUCCAAUCCUGCUCUCUGCCCACCUCUCUCACAUAUGCAAUGGCCCGGGAGCUCCUUUAUUUUUUUUUAUUUUUAUUUAAAAAAAAUUUUUUUUUUCAACGUUUAUUUAUUUUUGGGACAGAGAGAGACAGAGCAUGAACGGGGGAGGGGCAGAGAGAGAGGGAGACACAGAAUCGGAAACAGGCUCCAGGCUCUGAGCCAUCAGCCCAGAGCCCGACGCGGGGCUCGAACUCACGGACCGCAAGAUCGUGACCUGGCUGAAGUCGGACGCUUAACCGACUGCGCCACCCAGGCGCCCCUUGGGAGCUCCUUUAAAGGAACCUAGACGUGAUGCCUGGAGGUGUGGCAGCCGUUGUGGUACCGUCAGGUUGAAAGCCAACACGUAAGGACGGUGGAAGAAAUCAUGAGGCCAGCAAAGCAGCCGAGGCAGUUUACAUGUAGCUUCCUUGUUAUGUGGGAAGAGGAAGCCCUAAAGUGUUUAAGUCACCGUUGUUAGGUUUGCUUUGACUUGUGACCAAAGGCAUUCCUCCCAGAUGCGGAUUAGUAUCUGUCUGUGGAUGUCUCCAUUACUGUAGGCCACUUUAGGUUAUUGAGAGCCUUGCUCAGUGACACGAUUACAUACCUGGUGACCCACUGGCUGACUGAAUAGUAAGGAUCAAGGAUAUAUAAGUCAAUAGUAAUAAUACUAUCUUCGUAUUAUUGUUAGUAUUAUCACCCCAUGUAUCGAGGACGUGCUACACCCUCUAUAUGACGCAUUAUCUCAUUUAACCCCCACGGCAACACUAGAAGUGGAAGCUGAGUGGCACCCAUUUUACAGAUGAGGAAAACUGAGGCUCAGAAAGGGUCAUGCAGCUGGUGGGCCGUGAGGCUAGAGUUGGAGCCAGGUAUGUGGGCUCCAGGACACAAUUUCUGUUCUCCCCACUGCACACCCUCAGGUCAAGAGAACCAGCUUGAUCAUUUUGUCUUUCGGCCAAGGAAUGGAAGAAGGAGGGAGAGUGGCCUUGCUGGAUGGGGUGGCCCUGGGGCUCCCUGAAUCUCAGCUGUCAUGUGCAACUCUGUUGAGCUUGGGGAGCUGAGGGCUGGGACUUAGAGGGUAACAAGGAGUCUGUCCCCAGGGCCUGAGACCUUGGCAAUCCAGGUCAUGGGGGGACCAUGAGGUUCCAACCCCUGGCCCCAACUGUUCCUCAGACUCUUCUGGGAGGACUCCACUUGUUUCUCAAGGAAAAAGGCAGCAGAGGAAGUUGGACCAAGCCCCCUCUCCUGACCCCUUACACGGUGGCAUCCCCUUGCUCCGGCAGCCUGUUCUGGAAGGGGGACAGAGCUGG
ensembl:lncRNA